UUUCGGAGUAGAAGCAGUCGGGCAUGCCCGGACAUUGCUCCUCAA
rfam:Agrobacterium vitis S4 chromosome 2, complete sequence.